GAUGAACGCUAGCGGCAGGCCUAACACAUGCAAGUCGAGGGGUAGAGGAAGCUUGCUUCCUUGAGACCGGCGCACGGGUGCGUAACGCGUAUGCAAUCCAUCUUGUACUGAGGGAUAGCCCAGAGAAAUUUGGAUUAAUACCUCAUAGCAUUAUGAACUCGCAUGGUCUUUUAAUUAAAGUUCCAACGGUACAAGAUGAGCAUGCGUACCAUUAGUUAGUUGGUAAGGUAACGGCUUACCAAGAAAAUGAUGGGGAGGGGUCCUGAGAGGGAGAUCCCGCACACUGGUACUGAGACACGGACCAGACUCCUACGGGAGGCAGCAGUGAGGAAUAUUGGUCAAUGGACGCAAGUCUGAACCAGCCAUGCCGCGUGCAGGAUGAAGCAUCUAUGGUGUGUAAACUGCUUUUAUACGGGAAGAAACACUCCUACGUGUAGGAACUUGACGGUACCGUAAGAAUAAGGAUCGGCUAACUCCGUGCCAGCCGCCGCAGUAAGAC
rnacentral:rRNA from 1 species